CCGACGUGCGGCGGUGACCCGCCGGGGGGAGCUGUCGUCCGCGGGACUCUGGCGUGGUCUCCGGAUCCCGCGUGUGGCUCUCACUUUUCAGGGCGUGUCGGUGGGGCCGCUGGCUUCAGGGUCAGAGGGAGCGCAGUCCAGGUAAACAGCAGCGCGCGCCUGACAAAACCCUGGCGCUGCCCGGGGGAGCCGAGGACGGCGCGACCUGGGGGGCUGCAGGCUCGGGCUGGUAAAGGCGCUGCCCCCGCGGGCCGCACGCUGCUUAUUUCUUUUUUUUAAAUUGUUUCUAUCGAGGCGGAGUUUACGUUGCCCGGGUGGUCUCAAACUCCCCGGCCCAGUGAUCCGCCCGCCUGGAACUGCCGCCUUGCAGAGCGCUGCGAUCACAGGCGUGGCCUCCGCGCCCGCGUUUCUCGCUUUUUAAAAGGGCUUUGGUGGCUGCCCUCCAACCAGCUUUGCCCACUCUGCCGGCAGAAAAGACGAAAGACGAGUCUCCUAUGACUGAGUAUUGAGCGAAUAAGUGCCCAAAUCCCCGCCCGCCUUCCACGCCGUGUCCGGCUUGCCGGCAGGAGACGCAUUGGAAGUCUGAUGGCCCCGCCAUCAGGACAGGCACCGCACCUCAACGUAGUGCCUCUCCUCAAAGGUCGGAAGGCUCCUUCCAACUCCUGCACCUUGACGACGACUGACGGUGCCCACACUCGGAGACCCCGGUCACCCUCGCCGAGCCCAGGGGAACGCUACAGGUAGCGGGGUCCAAGAAAAUUACUCGAGUUUCCUCCAAUCAAAUGCUCCUACACCCUUACACCCAACUGCCAACCUCAGACCCUAACUAUGCCCCUUAAUAGCAGGAAGCAGCCAGAGAGACAACUGCGCCCUGAAAUCUUAUAAUCAAUGAGAGGUUGGACUGUUUGGGUGAAGGAAUGGGCCAAGAUGGAGGAAAAAUGAACAAGAUGGCAUAGUCCCUGAGGCUUCCAGGUUCUUCACCACCAAUGUACCCGCACCCGGGAAAGCACAAACCAACUGAGCAUGCGCCAAGUGACGUCAACCUGAAGAAAUUGAAACUUACCCAUCCACGCCCGUGAAGACGCCCCCGUCCCACCCACUGCCCUCCCCUUUCCGGUCGCAAGGCAUAAAAAUCUGUCGCCGGCGAGUGCCGGUGCAACUUCUCCAGCCCGCGACUUCCCUGGCCCUCCCUACUUGCGGACCAGAGAACCUCGCCCGAGAGCGCGUGCAUAUUUGCAAAUAAAGGCUACC